GUCAAGCCCAGAGGCGUCCUGGCUUCCGGUUUGGGUGUGGUCGUGGAGUGGGCUUUGCUGCAGGUGAUUGCAGGGAAUGGAAUGUUGCGACUGGCGUCUGGCAGAUGUAAACCGAACCAAAACACUGAAGGCAAUAUGCUGUAAAUGCAUCUGGAUGUGCCCUAAUUGGAUGAUAAAGGCACCUCGACCCCUUUAUGAAAGAGGAUGCUCAGAGCCCUACUCCAAAGAUGAAUUCAUCCACAGUCACUGUUCACCAUAGACUCAAACUAUACUAUCCAAUUUCACAUCUUUUUUCUUGACUGAAACGAUGUUCAGAUCAUCUCCCUUCUCAUCUUCAGCUUGUUUUCUCAUCUUUGGUUUGGCAGCCAGCACCUCUAGCCUGGAGGCAUCAAACUUCAGCACACACCAGAAUCUCCUGGCCUGCCUAUUAAAGCAGCUUUUUGGACCCCCACUAGCAUUUAUGCUUCAGUAUGCUUGGAUUGUCAUGGGAUUAUUAUCUGCAAUGGACUUGGAGACCUUGUGAAGGUAUUCCUGGGAACUACAUCUAUUGGGGCAAGUAAUUGUUGUAGAGGAACCAGCUAUCAGUGAAUAUGAAAAGCAAUAUAUGUUCAUUCUGGAAAUUUGGGAUACAGGUGUUCACAAGAAAUUUAAAAAAUCAUUCAGAGUGAUUUGUGGAUUAUGGAUUUAGAAAGAUCAGAAGAUAGAAGAAAAUCCCUGAUAUUAAAAGAGAAGACAUUAGGUGUUUGAUAGAGCUUUGUGAUGGACCAGCAGGAACAAGUUGCCAAUGCUUCUAUCGGGUAAUUGGAGUAACUGUCCUUUCAUUUUUAAUUUCAUGCUGCAAAUUUAUAAUAUUGGGAGUAUUAAAUUACCUCAUAUCUAAAUUGGGGAUAAUAAAAGUAUUGCCUCAUGGGUUGAUUCUGAAUAUUAAAAGUUAAUUAAUAUACGUAAACUGCUUAGAACAGUAUCUAGCGCAUCGUAAGUGCCACUCUGCUUCUGUGCUUUGAGUAUUGCUGUUAAAAGCUGUCUACCCCCAAUUAACACCAAAUCUAAGGAAUACAUACUGUGGGGAUCCUGAUGAAGGACGCUUGUCAGGGUGAAGAUGAUUUUUGCAUUGCAGAUCAACAUGAUGAGAAGAGGGAUGAUGAAGAGGCAGGUGAAGGUGAAAAAGUUAUAAAAGGCUUGAUGCCACCAUUGUGGAAAACUGCAGUGUGUUACACAUUGAGAGAAACCUUCUGUCUGUCCAGAGUCAUCUUCUAAAUGGAUCAUCCUGAAGAUGUAUAACUGUAUAAGAAAAUUUUUUAAAAAGUGAUGUUGCUUAUUUUCAAACAGUAUUUGCAAGUUUUCUUGAAAGUUUUCUCUUCUUUAUUCUGCUAACGUUCUAACAUGUUGUUGCCCAAAGCAACUGCUAAGUAUCUUGAUAUUCUUUUGGCAUUUCUACAAAAAGUUAUAAGUGGAUUUUUACUUAAAAUAUGUUUGGGUAAUGUGAAUGGAUCUGUAGGAUUUUGGAUUUCUUUUGCAAUUAUUUCAACCUUGCAGCACAAUCAUCAACCAAAGAUUUAAACCUUGUUUGUAUUUCAAUUUCAGAUACUAUUAUGCUGAGUAAACUUUUUGCGAGUGAUUUUGCAAGUGAUUUUAUUGUUAUAUCCUCAGCACAUAAAACUGUGUCUGGUAUUUAGAAUAUACCCUCAAAAUACAAAUUUAGAUUUUAUUUUUGAGACAAAAUCUCAUUAAAAUGGUCAUAAAACGUGAACAGACAGUUCACAGAAAAGAUAUAACAGUGGCCCUUAAUCAUAUGAAAAGACGUUCAACCUCACUUAUGAGAGCAGUGCCAACCAAUUAAGGCUACAAUGAUAUGCCAUCUUCUACUAUCAAGAUUGGCAAAAUUUAAAAAAAAAUAGUAGCACACUUUCAUGGUAAGGCUGUAGGGAAGCAGGGACUAAUACAUUGCUAAUGGGAAUGCAAAUUGGUACAACCAUUAAGGAGGGGAAUUUGGCAAUAACUAGCAUAACUACAUAUGCAUUUACCUUUGACUCAGCAAUCUGACAUUCAGGAAUUUACCCUGAAGAUACACCCCUACUUCCAUUAUAUGAAAAUACAUAUGCACAAGAUUAACCAUUGAUGCAUUGCUUAUAACUGAAAAACAUUGAAAAUAAUCUAAAUAACAAUUCAUUGAAUAGUAACUGAAUAAACUACAGUUGGCCACACAAUGGGGUGCUGUACAAUUGUAAAAAAAGAGUAAGGGUAAUUUAUGUGUGUGUGUGUGUGUGUGUGUGUGUGCGCGCGCGCGUGUGUACACAUAAAUACAUUUAUUCCAGCUCUGCCUGUGGAGAGAGCCUAGGAAUAAUGACGUCUGAGUAGCAAUGAGCACACCCAGCACUCCAGCACCCAGAUCUUGUUUUCUAAGUAUCAUUCUCUAUCAGAAGGAACCAGACCUAACUGGAGAAAUGGGUGAUCUCAAGGCUGGGGAAAGCAAAAUACAAUAUGUCCUUGGAACAGCUGUUGUGCUGCAAAGUCAGGAAAUGCCCAGAGAAUGAUGGAGCAUGUGAAAAAUGUUCAGGCGCCAGCUUGAAAGAGCUUCAGUUGGCCAAAUCUGGGAUAGUUUAAGCAUGAAAACAAACAAACACUGAUAGAAAACAAUGAUAAACUAUAGAAUAAAGAAAGAAACCAUGACUCCAUGUUGAUAUAAAUUACAAACCAACAACGACAAAUAAAUGGGGAGAGGGAAAAGCUCUUUACUGUAGAAAGUCAAUUAAUAAAUGUAAAAGGUAUAGUGAAGUAGUGAUUACCAUUUUGUAAUCACUAUAAUAAUAAUUGAUUCAGGCAAGAAUCACCAAUGGAUGGUAAAAAUAUGGGUGUAAGUUUGAGGAGAGUAGUUUAUUUAUAUCAUCUCAAAGUAUCUACCUGCAGGAUACAUGUCAUUAUAACGUUAUUAUAAAAUAAUUACUAGUCGAGAAAUAACCAAAUAAUUAACAUUGCCAAUAAUGGGACGAAUCGACAGCUUCUGCUUCCUUCUAGAAUAUGCUGCGAAGAAAGUGUCACCUCUUAGGUAUUUUUUGCUAAAAGUUUGUGGAUGAAGAAUGUCACCUACCAUAUCAGUAAACAAAGAAUGUUGUGGCCAUCAAGCCAUAGCCCCUGCAGCCACCCCCGACUGUGCACACUGAGGGCAUUCAGGAUGGAAAAAGGCAGGAUACUGGCUCUAGAUAGUUAAGGUGCAUUUCAAAGGGAUGAUUUCAAUAAGUCUGGACUCUUGCACCUUCCCAUACUUAGAAAAGCACUAAAUUCAUUAACUUGAGAUAUAUCAUUUUUCUUUAAUUAACAAUAAUCUUUUGAUGUUCCGACUACCU